rnacentral:rRNA from 1 species
UACGUAGGGGGCAAGCGUUGUCCGGAAUCAUUGGGCGUAAAGAGCGUGUAGGCGGCCAGAUAAGUCCGCUGUGAAAUCUCGAGGCUCAACUUCGAGCUGUCGGUGGAAACUGUCUGGCUAGAGUCCGGAAGAGGAGAAUGGAAUUCCUGGUGUAGCGGUGAAAUGCGUAGAUAUCGGAAGGAACACCAGUGGCGAAAGCGGCUCCUGGUCCAGCACCGACGUCAGGCACGAAAGCGUGGGGAGCAAACAGG